UAAAGCUUAGAGCCUUUUCCCUUCAUGCAUUAAAAACAACAACCUUAAUACAUAAUAAAUGUCUUAAAACCCUAAUGUAUUGUUUAUUUCAAUAGCGAGCCUGGUUGCUGUAGCCACAGGGGAAUUUUCAAGGACAAGAACCAGUGCUGGUAAAAAUGUGGUCUCAUGUGGUUUUCCAUACCGGCAUUCAGCAAGGAUUUCAGAGAAAGGAAUACUGUCUCCAAAUCAUGAUGUGCCAAUAAGCUCCAGUUAGCUGUGCCUUUUUCCUCCCACCGGUAGUCCUUCAAUCUGAAACCAGGAGGUGCAGCUCUGAAUCCAAUAUUUCAGGAGAAUGAAUAUAAAACUGAAGCCUUCAGGAAGUCAAUGCCACCAUGGUAUUGAUUUAUUCAGCUCUGAUGUACUCAGCUGUGAUGUAACAUGCCUUCAAGCCACUAUCCGAAGAACAUUCAGACGUUCUAAAUGGACAAUUGCCCUGUUGCCAUGGAAAUCAUUAUGAGGAGGAGCACACAAACUGUCACUUGUU